GGGAAUCGAAUGCCUUGCGACUAGAGGAAACAAUGGACCAGCAAUAGCUUACCACCUUGGUGCAGCAAGUUAGAGCUUUGACGGAGGUUGUCCAUAGUCUCCAGCAGACUGCAGAGUAGCAGCAACAAUAGUAAUGGUGGACAGUGGAUUUGACACCGCAGGAUGCACCCUCUAGGCAGAGUUCCCGACCCCAUUCUCCAUCCCGC
rnacentral:lncRNA from 1 species